rnacentral:tRNA from 1 species
GGGCCCAUGGUCCAGUGGUAAGACGCUACAUUCGCAUUGUAGAAACGGCGGUUCGAAUCUGCCUGGGUCCACAA